GUGUCAGGCGCCUGUACUCCCAGCUACUUAGGAGGCUGAGGCAGGAGAAUGGCGUGAACCCGGGAGGCGGAGCUUGCAGUGAGCCGACAUCGCGCACUGCACUACAGGGCGACUGAGCAAGACUCUGUCUCAAAACAACAACAACAACAACAACAACAAAAAAACCAUAGUCCUUUGUCAGUCUUUAGUCUACUACUUCUGACUUAUUAGCAGCUCCUGGCCUUCCAUUUCUAGUUAUCCCAGAAGGACAUACUGGAACACCUUGCAGGUUACACACUUUGAUGGCACUAACAGCAUGUUAGAGAGAAUUGUGUGGCAAAGAACUGAAGGCAUCAGUCCAAAAGCCCAAAGAACUAAAUACUGCCAACAACCACAUGAACUUGGAAGUAGGUCCUUUCCCAGUGAGCUCUGGGGAUGACAAAAGACAGACGACACCUUGAUUGUAGUCUGUGAGAAAACCUGAAGCGGAAGACCCAGCUAACUUGUGCUCAGAUUCCUGACCAAUACAAAUUGUGAGACAAAUGUGUAAUUUUUUAAGCCAAGUUUUUGAUAAUGUAAUAUGAAGUGAUAGAUAACUAAUUCAAAAUAGAGAACUGGAUACAUAUGUUCACGAGCUAUUCUGGCAUAAAAGUACAUUCAAUAAAAAACUUGUUACUACUCU